rnacentral:misc_RNA from 1 species
UAAUAUAAUAGAAAUAAAAUAAAUUUUCAGUCGUGGUAAUUUCUAUUACAUAUUCGUUUAAUGUAAUGUGUUUUGACAUUACUAAAAUGGGAUGAAAACAUCCUUUUACGAGUCUAUUUAAUCAUACAGAAAAAAUGGCAUUGAAGAUGCAAUUAAUGAAUGGAAUUCAUUUGAUAAAUGUAUUCAAUGGAAGGAUAAUGCUUCCAAAAUAAGGAUGGUCAAAAUUUAACUCAAGAUUGUUAAAACAAGGUUGUAAUCGGAGUUUUCCGUUUUAUUGAAAAACAUAUCCCCUUAUGUCUUAUGACUAUUUUAAUUGAAUAACAUAAUUCAAAUGCCUUUUGUUGCCUUCUAUGCACAUAUGUGAACGUAAAUCUAGCGCAUCAUUUUAUAAUACAGUUAGUAGGCCGAAACAUACAAGCAUAUAACAAAGAUAAAUCAACUUCUUCGAGGAAGCAUAUUCCCUUGAUCAUGCUCAACAGUUUCUAACUUCAAUACAAGCUUUUUUUAUUCAUUUAUUUAACUAUUU